CUUUCAUCAGCCUCGGAAGAAAGGGGCGGGGGACGUGACCUGAAUUCAAGUAGUGGAGGCUGGGCCAAAAGGGCCCCUGCGCCUACUCUUGGCGGGGGGAAAAAAGAGAAAAAUCGCAGAGUGGGAGGGAGGAAGGAAGGAAAAGGGACUAACAAGAACCCUUCGCUAGCACUCGCGGGCAGAACCGGAGCCUCGAGGGCCCCCAAAACCUGCCGGACUCGCCCCCGCCCCUCCCCCGCUCCGGGUCCGCUCCAGACUCUUCACUCAGCGUUUGCCAGUCGAAGGAAGCUCCGCCCCUGCGUUCCGCUUAAAGCCAGUCCUCAUUGGCCGCUGGCCGCACCUCUACCUUCCCAUUGGCUGUACGUGCGUAAACAACGGCUGCUUACUUCAGA